rnacentral:rRNA from 1 species
AUUGAACGCUGGCGGCAUGCCUUACACAUGCAAGUCGAACGGCAGCACGGGUGCUUGCACCUGGUGGCGAGUGGCGAACGGGUGAGUAAUACAUCGGAACAUGUCCCGUAGUGGGGGAUAGCCAGGCGAAAGCCGGGUUAAUACCGCAUACGAACUUCGGAUGACAGCGGGGGACCUUGUGGCCUCGGGCUUUGGGGUUGGCCGAUGGCUGAUUAGCGAGUUGGUGGGGUAAAGGCCUACCGAGGCGACGAUCAGUAGCUGGUCUGAGAGGACGACCAGCCACACUGGAACUGAGCCACGGCCCAGACUCCUCCGGGAGGCAGCAGUGGGGAAUUUUGGACAAUGGGCGAAAGCCUGAUCCAGCAAUGCCGCGUGUGUGAAGAAGGCCUUCGGGUUGUAAAGCACUUUUUUCCGGAAAGAAAUCCUUGGCCCUAAUACGGUCGGGGGAUGACGGUACCGGAAGAAUAAGCACCGGCUAACUACGUG